GAUGAACGCUAGCUACAGGCUUAACACAUGCAAGUCGAGGGGCAGCAUGGUCUUAGCUUGCUAAGGCCGAUGGCGACCGGCGCACGGGUGAGUAACGCGUAUCCAACCUGCCUUACACUCCUGGACAGCCUUCUGAAAGGGAGAUUAAUACAAGAUGUUAUCAUGAGUAAGCAUUUUCGCAUGAUUAAAGGUUUACCGGUGUAAGAUGGGGAUGCGUUCCAUUAGAUAGUAGGCGGGGUAACGGCCCACCUAGUCUUCGAUGGAUAGGGGUUCUGAGAGGAAGGUCCCCCACAUUGGAACUGAGACACGGUCCAAACUCCUACGGGAGGCAGCAGUGAGGAAUAUUGGUCAAUGGACGAGAGUCUGAACCAGCCAAGUAGCGUGAAGGAUGAAGGUUCUAUGGAUUGUAAACUUCUUUUAUACGGGAAUAAACGAAUCCACGUGUGGAUUUUUGCAUGUACCGUAUGAAUAAGGAUCGGCUAACUCCGUGCCGGCAGCCGCGGUAAUACGGAGGAUCCGAGCGUUAUCCGGAUUUAUUGGGUUUAAAGGGAGCGUAGAUGGGUUGUUAAGUCAGUUGUGAAAGUUUGCGGCUCAACCGUAAAAUUGCAAUUGAUACUGGCAGUCUUGAGUACAGUUGAGGUAGGCGGAAUUCGUGGUGUAGCGGUGAAAUGCUUAGAUAUCACGAAGAACUCCGAUUGCGAAGGCAGCUUACUAACCUGUAACUGACAUUGAUGCUCGAAAGUGUGGGUAUCAAACAGGAUUAGAUACCCUGGUAGUCCACACGGUAAACGAUGAAUACUCGCUGUAGGCGAUAUACAGUCUGCGGCCAAGCGAAAGCAUUAAGUAUUCCACCUGGGGAGUACGCCGGCAACGGUGAAACUCAAAGGAAUUGACGGGGGCCCGCACAAGCGGAGGAACAUGUGGUUUAAUUCGAUGAUACGCGAGGAACCUUACCCGGGCUUAAAUUGCAACCGAAUAUGGCGGAAACGCUAUAGCUAGCAAUAGCGGUUGUGAAGGUGCUGCAUGGUUGUCGUCAGCUCGUGCCGUGAGGUGUCGGCUUAAGUGCCAUAACGAGCGCAACCCUUGCCGAUAGUUACUAACAGGUUAUGCUGAGGACUCUGUCGGGACUGCCAUCGUAAGAUGUGAGGAAGGUGGGGAUGACGUCAAAUCAGCACGGCCCUUACGUCCGGGGCUACACACGUGUUACAAUGGGGGGUACAGAGGGCUGCUACCACGCAAGUGGAUGCCAAUCCCAAAAACCUCUCUCAGUUCGGAUUGAAGUCUGCAACCCGACUUCAUGAAGCUGGAUUCGCUAGUAAUCGCGCAUCAGCCACGGCGCGGUGAAAUACGUUCCCGGGCC
rnacentral:rRNA from 1 species